AUUGAACGCUGGCGGCAGGCCUAACACAUGCAAGUCGAGCGGAUGAAGGGAGCUUGCUCCUGGAUUCAGCGGCGGACGGGUGAGUAAUGCCUAGGAAUCUGCCUGGUAGUGGGGGAUAACGUCCGGAAACGGGCGCUAAUACCGCAUACGUCCUGAGGGAGAAAGUGGGGGAUUUUCGGACCUCACGCUAUCAGAUGAGCCUAGGUCGGAUUAGCUAGUUGGUGGGGUAAAGGCCUACCAAGGCGACGAUCCGUAACUGGUCUGAGAGGAUGAUCAGUCACACUGGAACUGAGCCACGGUCCAGACUCCUACGGGAGGCAGCAGUGGGGAAUAUUGGACAAUGGGCGAAAGCCUGAUCCAGCCAUGCCGCGUGUGUGAAGAAGGUCUUCGGAUUGUAAAGCACUUUAAGUUGGGAGGAAGGGCAGUAAGUUAAUACCUUGCUGUUUUGACGUUACCAACAGAAUAAGCACCGGCUAACUUCGUG
rnacentral:rRNA from 1 species